rnacentral:rRNA from 1 species
ACUAUCAUUAACUGAAUCCAUAGGUUAAUGAGGCGAACCGGGGGAACUGAAACAUCUAAGUACCCCGAGGAAAAGAAAUCAACCGAGAUUCCCCCAGUAGCGGCGAGCGAACGGGGAGCAGCCCAGAGCCUGAAUCAGUAUGUGUGUUAGUGGAAGCGUCUGGAAAGGCGCGCGAUACAGGGUGACAGCCCCGUACACAAAAAUGCACAUGCUGUGAGCUCGAUGAGUAGGGCGGGACACGUGGUAUCCUGUCUGAAUAUGGGGGGACCAUCCUCCAAGGCUAAAUACUCCUGACUGACCGAUAGUGAACCAGUACCGUGAGGGAAAGGCGAAAAGAACCCCGGCGAGGGGAGUGAAAAAGAACCUGAAACCGUGUACGUACAAGCAGUGGGAGCACGCUUAGGCGUGUGACUGCGUACCUUUUGUAUAAUGGGUCAGCGACUUAUAUUCUGUAGCAAGGUUAACCGAAUAGGGGAGCCGAAGGGAAACCGAGUCUUAACUGGGCGUUAAGUUGCAGGGUAUAGACCCGAAACCCGGUGAUCUAGCCAUGGGCAGGUUGAAGGUUGGGUAACACUAACUGGAGGACCGAACCGACUAAUGUUGAAAAAUUAGCGGAUGACUUGUGGCUGGGGGUGAAAGGCCAAUCAAACCGGGAGAUAGCUGGUUCUCCCCGAAAGCUAUUUAGGUAGCGCCUCGUGAAUUCAUCUCCGGGGGUAGAGCACUGUUUCGGCAAGGGGGUCAUCCCGACUUACCAACCCGAUGCAAACUGCGAAUACCGGAGAAUGUUAUCACGGGAGACACACGGCGGGUGCUAACGUCCGUCGUGAAGAGGGAAACAACCCAGACCGCCAGCUAAGGUCCCAAAGUCAUGGUUAAGUGGGAAACGAUGUGGGAAGGCCCAGACAGCCAGGAUGUUGGCUUAGAAGCAGCCAUCAUUUAAAGAAAGCGUAAUAGCUCACUGGUCGAGUCGGCCUGCGCGGAAGAUGUAACGGGGCUAAACCAUGCAC